rnacentral:rRNA from 1 species
AGGAAGGUAGUGUAGUUAACACCUGCAUUAUUUGACGUUACCUACAGAAGAAGCACCGGCUAACUCCGUGCCAGCAGCCGCGGUAAGUACGGAGGGGUGCGAGCGUUAAUACGGUAAUUACGUGGGCGUAAAGCGCAUGCAGGCGGCCGUGUUAAGUCAGAUGUAGAAAGGCCCGGGGACCUUAACCCGUACGGUAAGUUGCUAUUUAGUAAACGUGGCGAGGCUAGAGUCUUGUAGAGGGGGGUAGGAAUUUCAGGUGUAGCGGUGAAAUGCGUAGAGAUCUGAAGGAAUACCAGUGGCGAAGGCGGCCCCCUGGACAAAGACUGACGCUCAGAUGCGAAAGCGUGGGGAGCAAACAGGAUUAGAUACCCUGGUAG